GUAGCCAGUAUCUAUAAUAAAGAGGUACAUACUGACUGGAAUAGUUAUUCAUUUUAUCAUAUACUAAAGGUCAUAUAAGAGACUAUACUAGAUAUCAGCUACUGAAUGAUGAAUACCUUCCAGUGUUUGGUCCUUGUUGCUGCUAUUGGAUUCAUGAUUACUACUACAGAGGCUCUACGAAAAAAGCAUUGUUGCCAUGAUACAGAAUGCAGGAAUACUGUAUCUUUAUCUGAUGACUGCUGUAGUAUCCCUGGAGUACAAUCUUAUAUGUUAUUUUAUGAUAAUGGUUUUAUGUACUGCUACCAGUGCAAGUAGCUGAGGGAAAGAAGCUCUGAGAAGGAAAGACUCUGUACU